GAUAAAAUAUAUGCGGCACCUUUCUUCGAGGCGUGAUCAUGUCUGAUUAUAUUUUGGGGCUGAAUAAUUUAUAGAAAGUUUAGUGUUUGGCUUUUGGAUUCCUUUUGUUCCGAUAAGUGUAUCCCGAAGAAAAAUUAAUGUAGAAGAUGUUCAAUGGACGAACCUUUCUAGAUCAUUUCUGGAUGAAAAGGGUCAACGGCACAUAAACGACAUCACAAGUAGCUAUUAGCCAUAUUCAUUGUUUUACAGUUCUCCGUUGGAAGCACUGAAAACACUUUAUUGGAUAGGAUCGCAGUGAUUGGGUCUCAAAUACAGUCAAUAUUUAAUAACAGCUGCCAAACAAAAAAAAUCAG